GAUGAACGCUGGCGGCGUGCUUAACACAUGCAAGUCGAACGGAAAGGCUCCUGCUUGCCGGGGUACUCGAGUGGCGAACGGGUGAGUAACACGUGGGUGAUCUGCCCUGCACUUCGGGAUAAGCCUUGGAAACUGGGUCUAAUACCGGAUAGGACGAUGGUUUGGAUGCCAUUGUGGAAAGUUUUUCGGUGUGGGAUGGGCUCGCGGCCUAUCAGCUUGUUGGUGGGUUAAUGGCAUACCAAGGCGUCGACGGGUAGCCGGCCUGAGAGGGUGUACGGCCACAUUGGGACUGAGAGACGGCCCAGACUGCUACGGGAGGCAGAAGUGGGGAAUAUUGCAAAAUGGGAGCAAGCCUGAUGCAGCGACGCCGCGUGGGGGAUGACGGCCUUCGGGUUGUAAACUCAUUUCGCUAGGGACGAAGCGCAAGUGACGGUACCUGGAGAAGAAGCACCGGCUAACUACGUG
rnacentral:rRNA from 1 species